AUGACCUGCUAUUGCAUGUUCUCUAAGACGAAGGCUAAAACUGCAGUGGCAGACAUGCUUACAAGAUCUCGUGAAGAUCAUUCUGCUGAUGAUGGGAAUGGUCUGUAUGGUCCAUACAUGGUUAUUGCUCUUCCUUCCACCCUGUCAAACUGGUUGAACGACUCAAUGAGGUUUGCUCCUUCUCUAAAUGGUCUGAUUUAUCAUGGAGAUAAAGUGGCUCGGACAGAGCUAGCGAGAAACUACAUGCCCAAAACUGUUGGUCCUGGUUUUCCGAUAAUAAUCACUUCAUAUGAGAUGGCUAUGUUUGAUGCAAAGUUUCUUGCUAAUUAUAAGUGGAAGUCACAUGAUCUGAAUUAUUGCCCUUAUGGUACCUCGCAAAACACACUGUGGUGGUCGCCCUCAGCUACGACGAUGUGCAUUCCUUGGCACCGGGAAUUGGGCUGGGACGUCGUGGAGAGGAGAGAAGGGGGCGGGCGACACAAUGGAGGGAAGGAGAGAUGGUGGUGA
rnacentral:rRNA from 1 species